GACAGAGGCCUCGAGCGUUAGGCGGAAUCACUGGGCUUAAAGCGUGUGUAGGCGGGCCCGUAAGUGUCUUGUGAAAUCCCACGGCUCAACCGUGGAACUGCUGGGCAUACUGCGGGUCUUGGGCCAACUAGGGGCAGCCGGAACAAGCGGUGGAGCGGUGAAAUGCGUAGAUAUCGCUUGGAACGCCGAAGGUGAAAACAGGGCUGCUGGGGUUGCGCCGACGCUGAGACACGAAAGCCAGGGGAGCAAACGGG
rnacentral:rRNA from 1 species